AUAACCUGCCCAGUCGCCCAAUUCAUAACAUAGACAAACAGAAGCCCUAAUAUCCCAUCUCAGUCGCGUACUGUUUUUCUUCUUCGAAGAACACGCGAACCAAGCCACAAAUUCCAUCCAAAUUCAGGCGAGUGAGUCCCAAAUCUCUAACCCACGCGUUCCCCUCAUCCCUCCUCUCACCAUUCUAACAGUUUCUGACACAAGAAUCCCCUCCCAUCUCACUCUCUUGACUUAGAUGUAUAUCGCAAUUGGAAGGUUCAAAAGGCGGAUGGGUUGGAUGAGUGUGAUUUAUUGGAUUGAUCUCAUUCAAUCCAAGCCCCACAUUCAUCACGGAUUCAUUUUAGAAAGGGCCAGUUCCGAUUUUGAAAGUAGGGGGAGAGAAAAUUUUUUUAGAGUUGGAGAGAUUUUUCGGAAAUGGAUUUGAGAGAUUGUUUUCGGUUUUAUUCGUUCUUUCCUUUCUGAUAUUGGAACAACAAAAAUCACUGAGGGGGCUGUUAUUUGAUUUUUCUUGUCGAUUACUGUUUAGGGUUUUUUUUGAAACCUCUAGAGUUCUUUUUUUUUCAUUACAGUUCUGGAUUUUUGGGUAAAAUGGAAGUCUCUUGACAAAUUUGAGUCUGUUGCUGCUCGGAGGUUGAUUUUAGUUGCUAUUUGCUUCCUCUUGGUUGAUUUCAAGGUUGUACUAAUUCAAUUUCUUAAUUCCAAGUUCUUUUCUCUUCUUCAUUUUAUUUCCCGUUGUAAAUCGAUCUUUGUGAGCUAUAAAAUGGGUUGAAGUGUGAAAGAAUAACUGAUAUUUGUGUAGUAAUUUCUCUUGUUUAUAUUAGCCUCUUCUAUGAUUUUGUAUGUGUGCUAAGGAAUGUUCGUCUGGUCCUCUAAUCUCAGAAUCCGUUACAACAGGUGACUGUGUGUGUUCAUCUUCCUCGUAAUGUUUGGUGCUCGUUCAGUGUUGUUUGGUCAUGUGAUUGUGCUUUCUAUCUCUUCUAGACUCUUUUGCAUAUCGUAAGCCGACGCACACCUUGAAUCGUUUGCAAGUAGUCGAUUAGCAUUCCUGUUCUAAAAUUUAAUUUAGGUGUUCUAACUGUUUUUGAUGGAUUUCUUAUUGUGUCUGCUUUGGUUGUUCUGUUUUGACCCUAACAUUUUGAGCAUGAAGACUAAACUAUUCGCAUCGAUCUUUGUUUUUCUUUCAUUGUAACAGUGUUUUCUCUCCGAUUUGUAGCGAUUAGGUGCAAGUAAUUGGAAUAGGGUGGAGACCCUUAGAAUUCAAGUGUAAAUGGAAUAUCUAGUUCAUGGGGAUCCUUUGAGAUCACAAGGAUGAAUCUUUCCUACUCUCUGGCUCUGUUUUGCAUUCGAAAUUAUGAGAAAUUUAAGUCAGGAAGUUGGUAUCCAUUGAUUGUUUGCCUUACUCCCUGUUUGUUGUGUGCGAGAUGUGAGUGUGUCACUGACUUGAGGAUCCAUUCCAGUCAUUUGUAUGCUCAUUCUACUGUACUCAGCAUGAGCCACAAGGUUCAGGGCCGGGUUAAUGGUUCAGGGAACCAUCAGCUGUAUUGGGAAUGUGUAAUUGGCCUAGAAUGUCCUCCACUGUUAAUCAUGAUGCUUCUGCUUGAAAAUUCAGCUCAUAGCUAGUCGAUGCUUGUGUUAAGGCUGACUUCAAUUCGAUUUGUUCAAACAUCUUAAGGGUAAUCAAUUCAUUGGAGGGGUUUUUUAUAUUGAUUAUAGACUGAUACCUAUGCUGGAUUCUUUGUGAUUUAGUUGUUGAGUUCCAUUUAUUCCGUUAAGUUAGGUUUUGUACCAAAGAGACCUGAUUCUCUCUAGAUUCUAAAUUUUAUGUCCAGUUGGUGAUGUUCAUGUUGACUUGUUUCUCUAUUGAACGCUUCGUGCUUCAUUCUUUCUGA
rnacentral:lncRNA from 1 species